AUCAGUCUCAGCUUGUUUGUCAACAACACCUUUCUCGUAAUACUGGACUAGAUUGAUGACAAUAUUUGCUUGGUCUUGGGUAAGGCCUCCCUUAAACAUGGCUCUCUCUGUGGAAAGGCUCUUGUCUGACUAAAAUCUCCAGCUCCUUGAUAUAAUACUUUCACUAAACGACUCUUGCUACCCUGCUAAAAAAAAAAACAAAAAAAAAACACUAAGAUAAUUACUUCUAGAAGGAAUUAAUUGACAAUUCAGCC
rnacentral:lncRNA from 1 species